AGGAUAAUGUUAGUGCCACUAACGUGGCUAAACCCUGGGGCCAGCAGAGGAAGGCCAAGGAGCACAGCAGGGUGGGCAGGGAGCUGCUAUGCAGGGACAGCCUGGAGGGUCUGAGGCGGUGUAUGGGCGAGCUGGGGUCCCAGGGGGAAACGUUUGGCCUGUGGAGGGCCAACAGCCUGGAGAGUGUGUGCAGCAACCAGUGUUCCAUAUCUCUGGCAGAGAGGGUGGAGAUGAACCGGGGCCUCCUCAAGCAGAUACUGAAUAAGAGCCAGGGACCAGAGCCAGGGUCCAAAGAGAACCUGGAGAGAGAGCAGAAGGCAGAGGUGACCCCAUGCAAUGGAAGAGGAUGGUAGGGACAGAGACAGAGCAGCAGGAGGCCAGGUCCAAGCUUUCUCUGCGUCGUUUAUUCUCCGCCAUCGGCCUGAAUGGGUGGGGAAGCUGGGUAAAGGGCGCUCCAGUAGCAUGGAGCAGCUUAGCUUCCAGCCCCGGGGUGUCCCCCCGGCCUUUCCUGCCCCCAGCUCCAGCCCCAGUCCUGCACGCCCAGAACCCAGCCAACUGAGGGGUCACCCUUUAAGCAGCUGAGGAAAUCGUCAUCAGUCCUAAAUGUACAGUCCUCCAAGAAGAAGGGAGACGGCUCCAGUGCAUACACACCUGGAGAUCAGCCCAGCAGCCCUGCUCUCAGGUAUAACCAGUACGGUGCGUCAGUAACAUCACUGAGGAAGCCAAGCCAGUAAAAAAAGCCAUAUUAUAAACUGGGUGGAUCGAGCCCUGAAAUCUGAUUGGCUGACAGCCGUGGUAUACCAUGGGUAUGACAAAGCAUUUAUUUUUACUGUUCUAAUUACAUUGGUAACCAGUUUCUAAUAGCAAUUAGGCACCUCAGGGGUUUGUGGUAUAUGGCCUGUAUACCACGGCUAAGGGCUGUAUCCAAGAACAGCCUUAGACGUGGUAUAUUGGCCAUAUACCACACCUCUUCGGGACUUAUUGCUGAAUUACAACCUAUGUUGUGAUAAUUGCGUUGUUUACUCUAUAACCCAUUUGUUCAAACUCCACAGUGAUGUACAAUAAGGCUGUGACAACAAAAAGACAACAGUCACACAGUGGUGGAAUAAAUUCAACUACACAUACGUUUGUUUCAUCACAAAACCAUAAAGAAACAUCUGUCCAGUGAAGUCCACCAGGCAAAUAUUGCAGACAAACAUAUCACAUGAUGUAGCAUGGUCAAGCAAGUGGAUGUUUUCGACAGUUUACUAAACAACUACUGAUUUAUAACCACAGAGUUAUCGCAAGUCAGCACAAAGACAACAGGAGCACUGCCUCCACUAUUCCAGCACCAGUUACACUUAGCCAUUUAAUCAAAUCAACAAGGCUAGAUUUAGCAAGCUAGCUACUGCAGGACAUCAACACAAGCUAGCUACUGCAGGACAUCAACACAAGCUAGCUACUGCAGGACAUCAACACAAGCUAGCUACUGCAGGACAUCAACACAAACAGACAAACGGACACGUUUUUCUGAAUAUUGCAUUUUGCAAAGGAAGUGAUUUGAUUUGUCUGAAGCCAAAUCCAAACUGGCCUCCCUUGGUGGGUGUUUUGCUGCACCUGGACAACCCACAGUUGAGCUCAGCUACUUAUUUUACCCAAAAAUUAUCAAGGGAGGCCAAAUGCUUUGCUGGCAUCAAUCAAUCAAAUACUUCGGCAGCAACAUGUUAUGCUCUAUUGUUCCAGACAGCAUCAGAUACAUGGGCU
rnacentral:lncRNA from 13 species